rnacentral:lncRNA from 1 species
UAAGGCGCCGAUUUGGUUCCAUAUAUAUUCUCAUCUUAAACUAUUUAACUGUUCUAUUUGUAACACUCUUGCUGAAACUCCCGUUUUUACUCUUAAAGAUUCUUCAGGUGUCAUUGUUCGUUGGAAGCAACCGGAUGAAUGGGAGCGUUUGUGACUCGGUGGGAAGCUCGUUCAAUCCCUUCAACAUGACAUCAAAGAGCUCCAGCUGCUCUUUAGAAAACCCUCUGAGUUGUGUGGUGGGGGAAAUAUCUGCCAGACAAGGCAACGUGAGCCUGACUCAGAGGCAGGUCUUCUCUGACAGCAUCAUCCAGCUCUCCGGGGACAACACAGGUAAACAGGGGUUAAAAUCAUCCGUCCUGCUUUGGUCUGAUACCUUAACCCUGUUCUCUACACGUCUCCAGUUGUGCACAGAUCUCUUGUGCUAA